rnacentral:rRNA from 1 species
UACGGAGGGAGCUAGCGUUGUUCGGAUUUACUGGGCGUAAAGCGCACGUAGGCGGAUCGUUAAGUCGGGGGUGAAAUCCUGGAGCUCAACUCCAGAACUGCCUUCGAUACUGGCGAUCUUGAGUCCGGAAGAGGUGAGUGGAACUCCUAGUGUAGAGGUGGAAUUCGUAGAUAUUAGGAAGAACACCAGUGGCGAAGGCGGCUCACUGGUCCGGUACUGACGCUGAGGUGCGAAAGCGUGGGGAGCAAACAGG